rnacentral:rRNA from 1 species
UGGGGAAUAUUGGACAAUGGGCGAAAGCCUGAUCCAGCCAUGCCGCGUGAGUGACGAAGGCCUUAGGGUUGUAAAACUCUUUCGUCGGGGACGAUAAUGACGGUACCCGAAGAAGAAGCUCCGGCUAACUUCGUGCCAGCAGCCGCGGUAAUACGAAGGGGGCUAGCGUUGUUCGGAUUUACUGGGCGUAAAGCGCGUGUAGGCGGGUCGUUAAGUUGGGGGUGAAAUCCCGAGGCUCAACCUCGGAACUGCCUUCAAAACUGGCGACCUGGACCUAAGUAGAGGCAAGUGGAAUUGCGAGUGUAGAGGUGAAAUUCGUAGAUAUUCGCAGGAACACCAGUGGCGAAGGCGACUUGCUGGACUUAUGGUGACGCUGAGGCGCGAAAGCUAGGGGAGCAAACGGGAUUAGAUACCCUAGUAGUCCCUGAGCGGGCUGGCAAGGCGCAU